rnacentral:lncRNA from 1 species
UAUUAAGUUUGUGGGUGAGCGUGUAUGAAGCCGGGGGGUGACCCUGGUCGCCACGUCCCGGUUUUUUUUGGGGGAGGCGUCGGAGCGUCAGACACCGUCAGGGUCGCCGGGGUCCGGGCGGGCGGGGCUAAAUGCUGCAGUCCGUCGCGCAGGCGCAGUGCUGCGCCUCCCCAGGCCCCGCCCCCCCGCCCGCGUAUACACUGAUAACAAAACGAAGUAGGAAUAAUGGCGCCGCGGAGCUUCGAUUCGGUUCGGGCUUUUUGUUUGUUUGAUCCCCUUCUUCGGAAUGAAACUGCGUGGCCGCCGGUGUGAAGGCGCUGCGUAAAAUCUGAAAGUGCGCGAUCAGUAACCGGACCUGAAGGAUGUAAAGAGAGGCGGUCGUUGGCGUCCCGCGGUAGGAGCGAGUCUCGGAACUGCUGUGGUCGCACAAGUCAGCGCAGAAAAAGUGAGACGUCCGGUCUGCAGGGUCCACGUCCAGGGGAAGAGUUUGAGGAAGCGUGGACAACUGCAGGUCACUCGUGCUCGCACACUCACGAUCAUCACCUCUGUGUGUGUGUGUGUGUGUGUGUGUGUGUGAGACCUCCUCAUCCCGGGGUCGAUCCCCGCUCUGUAUCCCCUUCUCGGUCACCACGGGGAAGCCACCUGCUGUCCCAACGCGGCCCAAUGCUUCAGCGAAGUUAUUUUGGUUAAACUGAGAACAGUCGGCUGUAAAAUCGGGCGCGGUUUGUUCCCAUGAAUGGAAGUGGGAUAAAUAAUAUCUCGGGUUAAUAAAAAAAAAGGUAAUUUUGAACCA